UGUUAUAGCAUGGAUUCUUGCUUAACAAGGAAAUUGCCAUUGAAACUGUUAGACUUGAGAAUGGACGAGGUAGGCGGAAUUCGUAGUGUAGCGGUGAAAUGCAUAGAUAUUACGAAGAACUCCAAUAGUGUAGGCUGCUUACCAGACCAUAUCUGACACUAAGGCACGAAAGUGUGGGUAUCAAACAGGAUUAGAUACCCUGGUAGUCCACACAGUAAACGAUGAAUACUAACUGUUUGCGAUAUACAGCAAGUGGUCGAGCGAAAGCGUUAAGUAUUCCACCUGGGAAGUAUGCCGGCAACGGUGAAACUCAAAGGAAUUGACGGGGGCCCGCACAAGCGGAGGAACAUGUGGUUUAAUUCGAUAAUACGCGAGGAACCUUACCCGGGCUCGAACGAUAUUUGAAUACAUCCGAAAAGAUGUAGCUAGCAAUAGCAAAUACCGAGGUGCUGCAUGGUUGUCGUCAGCUCGUGCCGUGAGGUGUCGACUUAAGUGUCAUAACGAGCGCAACCCUUACCGAUAGUUACCAUCAGAUAAUGCUGGGGACUCUAUUGGGACUGCCACCGUAAGGUGUGAGGAAGGAGAGGAUGACGUCAAAUCAGCACGGCCCUUAUGUCCGGGGCGACACACGUGUUACAAUGGGAGAAACAAAGGGUCGCUACCUGGCAACAGGAUGCUAAUCUCGAAAAUCUCUCUCAGUUCGGAUUGGAGUCUGCAACUCGACUCCAUGAAGCUGGAUUCGCUAGUAAUCGCACAUCAGCCAUGGUGCGGUGAAUACGUUCCCGGGCCUUGUACACACCGCCCGUCAAGCCAUGGAAGCUGGAAGUACCUGAAGUAUGUAACUAAAAGAGCGUCCUAAGUAACUU
rnacentral:rRNA from 1 species